rnacentral:rRNA from 1 species
UACGUAGGGGGCAAGCGUUGUCCGGAUUUAUUGGGCGUAAAGAGCGUGUAGGCGGCCAGGUAGGUCAGCUGUGAAAACUCGAGGCUCAACCUCGAGACGUCGGUUGAAACCACUUGGCUAGAGUCCGGAAGAGGAGAGUGGAAUUCCUGGUGUAGCGGUGAAAUGCGCAGAUAUCAGGAAGAACACCCGUGGCGAAGGCGGCUCUCUGGGACGGUACUGACGCUGAGACGCGAAAAGCGUGGGGAGCGAACAGG